rnacentral:rRNA from 1 species
AACGAACGCUGGCGGCAGGCCUAACACAUGCAAGUCGAGCGGACAUCUUCGGAUGUUAGCGGCGGACGGGUGAGUAACGCGUGGGAACGUGCCCUUUGCUUCGGAAUAGCCUCGGGAAACUGGGAGUAAUACCGGAUGUACCCUUUGGGGGAAAGAUUUAUCGGCAAAGGAUCGGCACGCGUUGGAUUCGGUAGUUGGUGGGGUAAUGGCCUACCAAGCCGACGAUCCAUAGCUGGUUUGAGAGGAUGAUCAGCCACACUGGGACUGAGACACGGCCCAGAAUCCUACGGGAGGCAGCAGUGGGGAAUCUUAGACAAUGGGGGAAAGCCUGAUCUAGCCAUGCCGCGUGAGCGAUGAAGGCCUUAGGGUUGUAAAGCUCUUUCAACGGGGAAGAUAAUGACGGUACCCGGAGAAGAAGCCCCGGCUAACUCCGUG